AGAUUGGCAAGAGUCACAGCGACAAAGUGGGUGGCCUUGGCCAGUGGCCUGCAGGAAUGUGGGUCAUUAUUGACGUUGACCCAGUGAGAGCAGUGUCUAGACCUUCCUGACAAAAAG
rfam:Erinaceus europaeus cont1.464109, whole genome shotgun sequence.